AAUGGCUGCAGUAAUAUAACUGUACAAAGGUAGCAUAAUCAUUAGUUUUUUAAUUAAAAGCUUGUAUGAAAGGUUGGACGAAGUAGAAUCUGUCUCUUUUUAAUAUAAUUAGAAUUUAAUUUUUAAGUAAAAAAGCUUAAAUUUAUAUAAAAGACGAGAAGACCCUAUAGAGUUUAAUAAUUUAUUUUAAAUAAUUAAUUUAGAUUUAUUUAUUUUAUUUAUUAUAUAAUUAUUUUAUUGGGGUAAUAAAAAGAUUAAUAUAAUUCUUUUUUUUAUAUAACAUUAAUAUAUGAAUUAAAUGAUCCAUUUUUUAUGAUUAAAAGAUUAAAUUACCUUAGGGAUAACAGCGUAAUUUUUUUAAAGAGUUCAUAUCGAUAAAAAAGUUUGCGACCUCGAUGUUGGAUUAAAGAUUAAUUUAGGUGUAGAAGUUUAAAUUUUUGGUCUGUUCGACCAUUAAAUCUUUACAUGAUCUGAGUUCAAACCGGUGUAAGCCAGGUUGGUUUCUAUCUUUAUAAAAUUUUUAUAUUUUAGUACGAAAGGACCAAAUAUUUAAUAUAUAAAUAUUUAAUUAUUUUGAAUAU
rnacentral:rRNA from 1 species